GACGAAUGCUGGCGGCGUGCUUAACACAUGCAAGUCGAACGGAAAGGCCCUGCUUUUGUGGGGUGCUCGAGUGGCGAACGGGUGAGUAACACGUGAGUAACCUGCCCUUGACUUUGGGAUAACUUCAGGAAACUGGGGCUAAUACCGGAUAGGAGCUCCUGCUGCAUGGUGGGGGUUGGAAAGGUUCGGCGGUUGGGGAUGGACUCGCGGCUUAUCAGCUUGUUGGUGGGGUAGUGGCUUACCAAGGCUUUGACGGGUAGCCGGCCUGAGAGGGUGACCGGCCACAUUGGGCCUGAGAUACGGCCCAGCCUCCUACGGGAGGCAGCAGUGGGGAAUAUUGCACAAUGGGCGGAAGCCUGAUGCAGCAACGCCGCGUGCGGGAUGACGGCCUUCGGGUUGUAAACCGCUUUCGCCUGUGACGAAGCGUGAGUGACGGUAAUGGGUAAAGAAGCACCGGCUAACUACGUG
rnacentral:rRNA from 1 species